rnacentral:rRNA from 1 species
CAAUAGCGUAUAUUAAAGUUGUUGCGGUUAAAAAGCUCGUAGUUGGAUUUCUGCCGAGGACGACCGGUCCGCCCUCCGGGUGAGUAUCUGGCUCGGCCUGGGCAUCUUCUUGGAGAACGUAACUGCACUUGGCUGUGUGGUGCGGUAUUCAGGACUUUUACUUUGAGGAAAUUAGAGUGUUUCAAGCAGGCACACGCCUUGAAUACAUUAGCAUGGAAUAAUAAGAUAGGACCUCGGUUCUAUUUUGUUGGUUUCUAGAUCUGAGGUAAUGAUUAAUAGGGAUAGUUGGGGGCAUUCGUAUUUAACUGUCAGAGGUGAAAUUCUUGGAUUCGUUAAAGACGGACUACUGCGAAAGCAUUUGCCAAGGAUGUUUUCAUUGA